UCCAAUAAAAAAUGGUGCCUUUUUGACUUUGUAGGGUUUGUAUGUCAUAGCUCUUUAACUUUUCCCAAACAUAACUCCCUUUGCAAAACACGACAGAAAUCCCCUUCUCUCUUUCUCCUAGUAGAACACCGCCUCCAUGGUUGUAUCUCUGGAGAUUUCCUCCGCAUUUCGUCAUUCUUUGUCUUUGUCGUUCAAACUCUCCAUCUCUCUCUGACGCAGUCUCACUUCAAUCGCCAUUUUCCACCAUGUUCGCGUCGCACCUUCGCGCUCUCCACAUCUCACCUCCAUUCAGAUCCUCCGUCUGUCGUCUUCGAUUGCUUAGAUUUCGUCUCAUUUCCAACAGCAUUAAACGCUCACCAACUUCUCCUCAAUCAUUCGCAGAUUCAAACAAAUAGUAACAAACUUGUAUGA